ensembl:lncRNA novel transcript
GCGCAGGCUCGUUGGAGGUUUUCCGGGGACCCUUUCCAACCUGGCUGUCUCAAAGGGAACCAGAUUAUGCAAGGCUUUGUGUUCCAGCUUAGGCUAAACCAAGAACAACUUUAUCCUAAGGUCAAGAGGAAAUAUUUGAUAGGUUCUAAAGAAGGGAGGAGGAAACUGAGACCCAGGCAGAAGAAUUUGUUCUUCAAACUGCGAAAGCAGAGCUACCCCAAUUCAUCCACACACAUAGUAUUUCAGAGAAAAAAAGAAAACCCUAUGAUGGCAAGCAGUCAUAAGGAUGAAUGAGUGGCUUGAUCUCGGCUCAUUGCAACCUUCGCCUCCUGGGUUCAAGCAAUUCUACCUGCCUAGCCUCCCGAGUAGCUGGGAUUACAGGCACCCUGCAUCACAACGGCAUCACGCAUUCGAAUUUAGUAUUUUAGAGUGAUCUUAAUAGGUGAGUACAUAAUUGGCUUCCCUGUAUCUAAAUCUAGACGCAACUCUGUUCUCUGCUCAGCACUGCCUCUUGGCUAUGGGUAGUGAUUGAAUUAAACAAAACAACAACAACAACAAAAACCAAACAUGAAAA